rnacentral:rRNA from 1 species
CAGUAGCCGCGGUAAUACGGAGGGUGCAAGCGUUAAUCGGAAUUACCGGGCGUAAAGCGUGCGUAGGCGGUUCGUUAAGUCUGUUGUGAAAGCCCCGGGCUCAACCUGGGAAUGGCAAUGGAUACUGGCGAGCUAGAGUGUGUCAGAGGAUGGUGGAAUUCCCGGUGUAGCGGUGAAAUGCGUAGAGAUCGGGAGGAACAUCAGUGGCGAAGGCGGCCAUCUGGGACAACACUGACGCUGAGGCACGAAAGCGUGGGGAGCAAACAGGAUUAGAUACCCCCGUAGUCCCUGUCUCUUAUAC